ACGAACGCUGGCGGCAUGCCUAACACCUGCAAGUCGAACGAGACCUUCGGGUCUAGUGGCGCACGGGUGCGUAACGCGUGGGAACCUGCCCUUAGGUUCGGAAUAACUCCCCGAAAGGGGUGCUAAUACCGGAUAAUGUCUUCGGACCAAAGAUUUAUCGCCUUUGGAUGGGCCCGCGUUGGAUUAGCUAGUUGGUAGGGUAAAAGCCUACCAAGGCGACGAUCCAUAGCUGGUCUGAGAGGAUGAUCAGCCACACUGGGACUGAGACACGGCCCAGACUCCUACGGGAGGCAGCAGUGGGGAAUAUUGGACAAUGGGCGAAAGCCUGAUCCGGCAAUGCCGCGUGAGUGAUGAAGGCCUUAGGGUUGUAAAGCUCUUUUACCCGGGAUGAUAAUGACAGUACCGGGAGAAUAAGCUCCGGCUAACUCCGUG
rnacentral:rRNA from 1 species